AUCGCUUCUCGGCCUUUUGGCUAAGAUCAAGUGUAGAAAACAAAUUUUGUGUAAAGUCACAGUGCAAAAUAAGAAGGUGAUUUAUGGCCUGCUUGAUUUACAAAAUAAUUUUUCUUUAUGAUCUAAUAGUUUAAAGUAUUAUUGAAAAGUUAAGUGGUAGGAGCCCCGUUGGCCCUGGAUGGGUCAGUUUGCCCUCAGUU